rnacentral:rRNA from 1 species
AUUGAACGCUGGCGGCAGGCCUAACACAUGCAAGUCGAGCGGAGCGGCGGACGGGCGAGUAAUGACUAGGAAUCUGCCUGGUAGUGGGGGAUAACGUACGGAAACGGGCGCUAAUACAGCAUACUAUUAGAUGAGCCUUGGUCGGGUUCGCUAGUUGGUGGGGUAAAGGCCUACCAAGGCGAAGAUCCGUAACUGGGCUGAGAGGAUGAUCAGUCACACGGGACCUGGGACACGGUCCAGACUCCUACGGGAGGCAGCAGUGGGGAAUAUUGGACAAUGGGCGAAAGCCUGAUCCAGCCAUGCCGCGUGUGUGAAGAAGGUUUUCGGAGUUUAAAGCACUUUAAGUUGGGAGGCGUUACCUAAAGAAUAAGCACCGGCUAACUUCGUGCCAGCAGCCGCGGUAAUUC